GCUUGUCUCAAAGAUUAAGCCAUGCAUGUCUAAGUACAAGCCUCAGUAAGGUGAAACCGCGAAUGGCUCAUUAAAUCACACCUAAUCUACUGGAAAGUUACUAGUUACUUGGAUAACUGAGGUAAUUCUUGAGCUAAUACAUGCGAAAAAUCUCGACUCACGGAGAGAUGCUUUUAUUAGAUCAAAACCAAUCGGCUUCGGCUGUCUGAGGUGAAUCAUAAUAACUUUGCGAAUCGCAUGGCCUUGUGCCGGCGAUGAAUCAUUCAAAUUUCUGCCCUAUCAACUUUCGAUGGUAAGGUAUUGGCUUACCAUGGUUGCAACGGGUAACGGAGAAUUAGGGUUCGAUUCCGGAGAGGGCGCCUGAGAAAUGGCGACCACAUCCAAGGAAGGCAGCAGG
rnacentral:rRNA from 1 species